rnacentral:snRNA from 1 species
GUGCUCACUUCAGCAGCACAUACACUAAAAUUUGAAUGAUACAUAGAAGAUUAGCAUGGCUCCUGUGCAAAUUUGUGAAGCAUCCCAUAUUUUU